AGCAGACAUCCAAGGGUAUCUUAUAUGGCGUAUAUUGUGCCUUAACUUGUCACCAUUUUUCCCCCCAUUUAUGCCAAUGUUUGUGGUGAGGGAAAAAAACUUUUUUACAUACAUGUUGCAUUUUUGCUGUGUAUUUCUUACGCUUCAUAUGUGCCACUGUCAUAAAGUCCCCUUAAUUAUGCUCAGUUAUAUCUUCUGAGUAAAACAAUAUGCCCG